AGCAAACAACUGGAUUGAUGAACGAACAAGAGCUGUGUUUGUUGAAUUCGCCAUCUAUAAUGCCCAAGUUAAUCUGUUUGCAGCACUUAGAAUUUGUAUUGAACAAGGUCCAGAAGGUGCCCUUCACCCGUAUGUUAGAAUCAAUCCUAUAAAAUUACUACGAUACCACGAAGGUUUUGGUCUCUUUGUGAUGAUUUGUGAAGGCCUUUUUAUUGCUUUCAUCGUGUACUACACUUAUCGAGAGCUUAAAGAAAUGUGUAAAGCCAAAAUUAAAUACUGGAAGGAUUCAUGGAAUUACCUGGAGGUCAUUGUCAUUUUCCUUGGGUGGGCUGCUGCUGUUUUCUAUGGUAUAAGGACUGCACUUGGUUUAUACCUCAUGAAUAAAUUCAAGACUAACAAGACUGGAUAUAUCAAGUUGGAUUAUGCUGCCUAUAUUGAUGAGGUCUUUUUGUACCUUGUUAGCUUCCUUGUGUUCUUUGCUACAUUGAAAUUCAUCAAACUGCUUCGAUUCAACAAGCGAAUAGGGAUGCUUGCCUCUACAUUAAGGCAGUGUGCUGCAGACCUAUCUGGAUUUAUGAUAGCC